GAAAUGCGAUAAGUAGUGUGAAUUGCAGAAUUCAGUGAAUCAUCGAAUCUUUGAACGCACAUUGCGCCCCUUGGUAUUCCAUGAGGCAUGCCUGUUCGAGCGUCAUUUGUACCCUCAAGCUCUGCUUGGUGUUGGGUGUUUGUCCCGUCUCCGCGCGUGGACUCGCCCCAAAGUGAUUGGCAGCCGGCGUACUGGUCCCGGAGCGCAGCACAUGUCGCGCAAACGAGUGCCUUGGUACGGCGGCGUCCAUAAGCCCCUCUCUCACGCUCUUGACCUCGGAUCAGGUAGGGAUACCCGCUGAACUUAAGC
rnacentral:misc_RNA from 1 species